rnacentral:rRNA from 1 species
GCCCAGACUCCUACGGGAGGCAGCAGUGGGGGAUAUUGCACAAUGGGGGGAACCCUGAUGCAGCGACGCCGCGUGGGUGAAGGAGUGCUUCGGCAUGUAAAGCCCUAUCGGCAGGGAAGAAGCAAGACGGUACCUGACUAAGAAGCCCCGGCUAACUACGUGCCAGCAGCCGCGGGAAUACGUAGGGGGCGAGCGUUGUCCGGAAUUACUGGGUGUAAAGGGAGCGCAGGCGGAUUGACAAGUUGGGAGUGAAAACUACGGGCUCAACCCGUAACCUGCUUUCAAAACUGUCAGUCUUGAGUGGUGUAGAGGUAGGCGGAAUUCCCGGUGCAGCGGUGGAAUGCGUAGAUAUCGGGAGGGACACCAGUGGCGAAGGCGACUAUCUGGCACAUAACUGACGCUGAGGAGCGAAAGCGUGGGUAGCAAACAGGAUUAGAUACCCUGGUA